AUUGAACGCUGGCGGCAGGCUUAACACAUGCAAGUCGAGCGGAGAUGAGGUGCUUGCACCUUAUCUUAGCGGCGGACGGGUGAGUAAUGCUUAGGAAUCUGCCUAUUAGUGGGGGACAACAUUCCGAAAGGGAUGCUAAUACCGCAUACGUCCUACGGGAGAAAGCAGGGGAUCUUCGGACCUUGCGCUAAUAGAUGAGCCUAAGUCGGAUUAGCUAGUUGGUGGGGUAAAGGCCUACCAAGGCGACGAUCUGUAGCGGGUCUGAGAGGAUGAUCCGCCACACUGGGACUGGGACACGGCCCAGACUCCUACGGGAGGCAGCAGUGGGGAAUAUUGGACAAUGGGGGGAACCCUGAUCCAGACAUGCCGCGUGUGUGAAGAAGGCCUUAUGGUUGUAAAGCACUUUAAGCGAGGAGGAGGCUACUGAGACUAAUACUCUUGGAUAGUGGACGUUACUCGCAGAAUAAGCACCGGCUAACUCUGUGCCAGCCGCCGCGGUAAAAC
rnacentral:rRNA from 1 species